UGUAUCUGAAGCCUGACGAGGAUGAGAACCUCCGGGGGCAAGAGGUUCGACCCGAGCGAAGCGAGAGAACGUUGCGUCAGCAACGGCCCG
rnacentral:sRNA from 1 species